rnacentral:rRNA from 1 species
GGCUCAGGAUGAACGCUAGCGGCAGGCCUAACACAUGCAAGUCGAGGGGCAGCGAGGGUAGCAAUAUCUGUCGGCGACCGGCGCACGGGUGAGUAACGCGUAUGCAACUUUCCUCUAACUGGGACAUAGCCCGGCGAAAGUCGGAUUAAUUUCCCAUAACACUACGAAAUGGCAUCAUUUUGCAGUUAAAGCUCCGGCGGUUAGAGAUGGGCAUGCGUGUCAUUAGCUUGUUGGUGAGGUAACGGCUCACCAAGGCUACGAUGACUAGGGGGUCUGAGAGGAUGAUCCCCCACACUGGUACUGAGACACGGACCAGACUCCUACGGGAGGCAGCAGUGAGGAAUAUUGGUCAAUGGACGCAAGUCUGAACCAGCCAUGCCGCGUGAAGGAUGAAGGCCCUAUGGGUUGUAAACUUCUUUUAUACGGGACGAAUCUCUCUGACGUGUCAGGGACUGACGGUACUGUACGAAUAAGCAACGGCUAACUCCGUGCCAGCAGCCGCGGUAAUACGGAGGUUGCAAGCGUUAUCCGGAUUUAUUGGGUUUAAAGGGUGCGUAGGCGGAAUAAUAAGUCAGUGGUGAAAACCUGCAGCUUAACUGUAGAACUGCCAUUGAUACUGUUGUUCUUGAGUAUAGUUGAGGUGGGCGGAAUGUGUAAUGUAGCGGUGAAAUGCUUAGAUAUUACACAGAACACCAAUUGCGUAGGCAGCUCACUAAACUAAAACUGACGCUGAGGCACGAAAGCGUGGGGAGCAAACAGGAUUAGAUACCCUGGUAGUCCACGCCGUAAACGAUGAUUACUCGAUGUGUGCAAUAUAUCGUACGCGUCUAAGCAAAAGCAGUAAGUAACCCACCUGGGGAGUACGUCGGCAACGAUGAAACU